rnacentral:lncRNA from 1 species
UUCUUUCAAUAAUCCAGUGAUUUUUUGACUCCUUAUUCUUAUCAUAUGGGGCGGCAACUUUAUAUAAGGUGGACUAGGUCAUAAGACCUAGUCUAACAAGGAGUCCAUGGGGCGUCCAACUCUUGGACGCCCCUUGCCUUUUAAUUUUUGUGGAGAGCCUGAUAACAAGCAUAAAAGGAUGACAAAAAAGAAGGGAUAAGCAUGGAGGAAGUUGGUGCAUGAG